rnacentral:rRNA from 1 species
CCCUAGUAACUGCGAGUGAAGCGGGAAAAGCUCAAAUUUAAAAUCUGGCAGUCUUUUGGCUGUCCGAGUUGUAAUCUAGAGAAGUGUUAUCYGCGCUGGACCGUGUACAAGUCUCCUGGAAUGGAGCAUCAUAGAGGGUGAGAAUCCCGUCUUUGACAUGGACUGCCAGGGCUUUGUGAUGCGCUCUCAAAGAGUCGAGUUGUUUGGGAAUGCAGCUCAAAAUGGGUGGUAAAUUCCAUCUAAAGCUAAAUAUUGGCGAGAGACCGAUAGCGAACAAGUACCGUGAGGGAAAGAUGAAAAGAACUUUGGAAAGAGAGUUAAACAGUACGUGAAAUUGCUGAAAGGGAAACGCUUGAAGUCAGUCAUGUCGUCCAGGGAUCAACCUUGCUUUUGCUUGGUGCACUUUCUGGUUUGACAGGUCAGCAUCAAUUUUGACCAUUGGAAAAAGGCUAAGGGAAUGUGGCAUCCUUGGAUGUGUUAUAGCCCUUGGUCGCAUACAAUGGUUGGGAUUGAGGAACUCAGCACGCCGAAAGGCCGGGUUUUAAACCACGUUCGUGCUUAGGAUGCUGGCAAUAUGGCUUUAAUCGACCCGUCUUGAAACACGGACCAAGGAGUCUAACAUGCCUGCGAGUGUUUGGGUGGAAAACCCGAGCGCGUAAUGAAAGUGAAAAGUUGAGAUCCCUGUCGUGGGGAGCAUCGACGCCCGGACCAGACCUUUUGUGACGGUUCCGCGGUAGAGCAUGUAUGUUGGGACCCGAAAGAUGGUGAACUAUGCCUGAAUAGGGUGAAUCCAGAGGAAACUCUGGUGGAGGCUCGUAGCGAUUCUGACGUGCAAAUCGAUCGUCAAAUUUGGGUAUAGGGGCGAAAGACUAAUCGAACCAUCUAGUAGCUG